GGUGAACGCUGGCGGUAGGCCUAACACAUGCAAGUCGAACGGCAGCACAGUAAGAGCUUGCUCUUACGGGUGGCGAGUGGCGGACGGGUGAGGAAUACAUCGGAAUCUACUUUUUCGUGGGGGAUAACGUAGGGAAACUUACGCUAAUACCGCAUACGACCUACGGGUGAAAGCAGGGGAUCUUCGGACCUUGCGCGAUUGAAUGAGCCGAUGUCGGAUUAGCUAGUUGGCGGGGUAAAGGCCCACCAAGGCGACGAUCCGUAGCUGGUCUGAGAGGAUGAUCAGCCACACUGGAGCUGAGACACGGUCCAGACUCCUACGGGGGGCAGCAGUGGGGAAUAUUGGACAAUGGGCGCAAGCCUGAUCCAGCCAUACCGCGUGGGUGAAGAAGGCCUUCGGGUUGUAAAGCCCUUUUGUUGGGAAAGAAAAGCAGCAGGUUAAUACCCCGCUGUUCUGACGGUACCCAAAGAAUAAGCACCGGCUAACUUCGUG
rnacentral:rRNA from 1 species